UACGAAGGGGGCUAGCGUUGCUCGGAAUCACUGGGCGUAAAGCGCACGUAGGCGGCUUACUAAGUCAGGGGUGAAAUCCUGGAGCUCAACUCCAGAACUGCCUUUGAUACUGGUGAGCUUGAGUUCGGGAGAGGUGAGUGGAACUGCGAGUGUAGAGGUGAAAAUUCGUAGAUAUUCGCAAGAACACCAGUGGCGAAGGCGGCUCACUGGCCCGAUACUGACGCUGAGGUGCGAAAGCGUGGGGAGCAACAGG
rnacentral:rRNA from 1 species